AGUGAACGCUGGCGGUAGGCCUAACACAUGCAAGUCGAACGGCAGCACAGUAAGAGCUUGCUCUUACGGGUGGCGAGUGGCGGACGGGUGAGGAAUACAUCGGAAUCUACUUUUUCGUGGGGGAUAACGUAGGGAAACUUACGCUAAUACCGCAUACGACCUACGGGUGAAAGCAGGGGAUCUUCGGACCUUGCGCGAUUGAAUGAGCCGAUGUCGGAUUAGCUAGUUGGCGGGGUAAAGGCCCACCAAGGCGACGAUCCGUAGCUGGUCUGAGAGGAUGAUCAGCCACACUGGAACUGAGACACGGUCCAGACUCCUACGGGAGGCAGCAGUGGGGAAUAUUGGACAAUGGGCGCAAGCCUGAUCCAGCCAUACCGCGUGGGUGAAGAAGGCCUUCGGGUUGUAAGGCCCUUUUGUUGGGAAAGAAAAGCAGCAGGUUAAUACCCCGCUGUUCCGACGGUACCCAAAGAAUAAGCACCGGCUAACUUCGUG
rnacentral:rRNA from 1 species